AGUUUGAUCCUGGCUCAGGAUGAACGCUAGCUACAGGCUUAACACAUGCAAGUCGAGGGGCAGCAUGGUCUUAGCUUGCUAAGGCCGAUGGCGACCGGCGCACGGGUGAGUAACACGUAUCCAACCUGCCGUCUACUCUUGGACAGCCUUCUGAAAGGAAGAUUAAUACAAGAUGGCAUCAUGAGGCCCCAUGUCCCAAGAAUAAAGUUUUCCGGAACGAGAGGGAUCCUUCCAUAAAUAGUAGCCGGGUAACGGCCCCCUUUUUCUUCGAAGGAUAGGGUUUUGAGAGGAAGUCCCCCCCAUUGGAAAUGAGACCGGGUCCAAAUUCCUAGGGGGAGCACCAGGGAGAAUUUUGGCCAAUGGGCGAGACCCUGACCCACCCAAGUAGCGUGAAGGAUGACUGCCCUAUGGGUUGUAAAUUUCUUUUAUAAAGGAAUAAAGUCGGGUAUGCAUACCCGUUUGCAUGUACUUUAUGAAUAAGGAUCGGCUAACUCCGUGCCAGCAGCCGCGGUAAUACGGAGGAUCCGAGCGUUAUCCGGAUUUAUUGGGUUUAAAGGGAGCGUAGAUGGAUGUUUAAGUCAGUUGUGAAAGUUUGCGGCUCAACCGUAAAAUUGCAGUUGAUACUGGAUAUCUUGAGUGCAGUUGAGGCAGGCGGAAUUCGUGGUGUAGCGGUGAAAUGCUUAGAUAUCACGAAGAACUCCGAUUGCGAAGGCAGCCUGCUAAGCUGCAACUGACAUUGAGGCUCGAAAGUGUGGGUAUCAAACAGGAUUAGAUACCCUGGUAGUCCACACGGUAAACGAUGAAUACUCGCUGUUUGCGAUAUACAGCAAGCGGCCAAGCGAAAGCGUUAAGUAUUCCACCUGGGGAGUACGCCGGCAACGGUGAAACUCAAAGGAAUUGACGGGGGCCCGCACAAGCGGAGGAACAUGUGGUUUAAUUCGAUGAUACGCGAGGAACCUUACCCGGGCUUAAAUUGCAGAUGAAUUACGGUGAAAGCCGUAAGCCGCAAGGCAUCUGUGAAGGUGCUGCAUGGUUGUCGUCAGCUCGUGCCGUGAGGUGUCGGCUUAAGUGCCAUAACGAGCGCAACCCUUGUUGUCAGUUACUAACAGGUUCCGCUGAGGACUCUGACAAGACUGCCAUCGUAAGAUGUGAGGAAGGUGGGGAUGACGUCAAAUCAGCACGGCCCUUACGUCCGGGGCUACACACGUGUUACAAUGGGGGGUACAGAGGGCCGCUACCACGCGAGUGGAUGCCAAUCCCCAAAACCUCUCUCAGUUCGGACUGGAGUCUGCAACCCGACUCCACGAAGCUGGAUUCGCUAGUAAUCGCGCAUCAGCCACGGCGCGGUGAAUACGUUCCCGGGCCUUGCACACACCGCCCGUC
rnacentral:rRNA from 1 species